rnacentral:rRNA from 1 species
GCAAGUCGAGCGAGGCUUCGAGCCGAGCGGCGGACGGCUGAGUAACACGUUGGUAGCUACCCCCCACUCAGGGAUAACGUCGAGAAAUUGGCGCUAAUACCGGAUAGUCCCGUAAGGGUAAAGAUUUAUCGGUGGGGGAGGUGCCUGCGGCCUAUCAGCUAGUUGGUGAGGUAAUGGCUCACCAAGGCUAUGACGGGUAACUGGUCUGAGAGGAUGAUC